rnacentral:rRNA from 1 species
AUGAACGCUGGCGGCGUGCCUAACACCUGCAAGUCGAACGAAGCACCUUACCUGAUUCUUCGGAUGAAAGUUUGGUGACUGAGUGGCGGACGGGUGAGUAACGCGUGGGUAACCUGCCCUGUACAGGGGGAUAACAGCUGGAAACGGCUGCUAAUACCGCAUAAGCGCACGAGGAGACAUCUCCUUGUGUGAAAAACUCCGGUGGUACAGGAUGGGCCCGCGUCUGAUUAGCUGGUUGGCAGGGUAACGGCCUACCAAGGCAACGAUCAGUAGCCGGUCUGAGAGGAUGAACGGCCACAGUGGAACUGAGACACGGUCCAAACUCCUACGGGAGGCAGCAGUGGGGAAUAUUGCACAAUGGGGGAAACCCUGAUGCAGCAACGCCGCGUGAGUGAAGAAGUAUUUCGGUAUGUAAAGCUCUAUCAGCAGGGAAGAUAAUGACGGUACCUGACGAAGAAGCUCCGGCUAAAUACGUG